CAGUCAGGCUGUGGAAGCAGAGGUAACUAUCAUUUCCUCUGACUCAGAGCCCUUGCCAAGACAAAAAGUAAGGUUUUCUAACCCUUUAGCUCACUUGGAUCCCAACUUUCGUUUGAAAACACGACAAUAUGAAAGCCGCCGUCAAGCUUGGACUGAAGAUGAGCCGGCUAUCGUUCAAAAAACUCCUCAGAAGCGUCCGAAUGAGGAGGUGUCUCUCUCUUCUGGCGACUCAUCGCAGAUGCAAUUUCCGGCCUUCAAGACUUGGUGGCCAAGCUAAAUCCAAGAAAGCGAAGGUAGCUAAAUCGGUGGAAGACCCGCCAGUGCUUGCAUCUGACCCGGCCAGGCCAUCCUCUCCAUUAACCGACGCUCCAGCAGACCCGCCUGUUGAUGUAGAAGCAAAUCCUCCUGAGCCGUCAUUUGAUGAGACCACUGUGAACCCUUCUGCUACUGGACCAUCAAGCUCAGCCAACCCGCCAUCACCAUCUGCAUAAGACGUUCAGAUCACCGGGAGCCGCUUUAUUGAACCAGGGAAUCCAACCGUGCUGGCUCGGUGUACUGCAAAACAAGAGGCAUUGGAGAGGCAGAAAGUUCACUUUGACGUUGCCAACUAUGACCAUCUAAAUGCCAAUGAUAUUCUAUCCGGCUAUCUUAGCCAUGUACACUCCAGUCGCGACUCUGAGAUUGAAAUGGUCAAAGAUCUGUAGUUGAAAUACGAGAAUGCCUUAUCGGAAUUGAACUCGCAAUUGACUGAUGCGAAGACCCGGCUAGCGAGUCAGGAAGCAGAAAUCAAAUCUGCUAACUCCAAACUGCAAAUAAGUCUCUCUGAGACGGAAAAUUUAAAGACCAACUUCGCUGCCAAGAAGAAAACUUGGGAAGAGGAAAAAAUGCUUCUGACCCAACGUGCUGAGAAGGCCGAAACAACCCUUGAAGAGAUUUCAACAGAGCUGAACGGGUUAAAGGGCCGGGUG